CAAGUCGAACGCGAAAGUUCCCUUCGGGGAGCGAGUAGAGUGGCGCACGGGUGAGUAACACGUAGGUAAUCUACCUUCGGAUUGGGAAUAACAACCGGAAACGGUUGCUAAUACCGAAUAAUGCAGCGGCACCUAAUGGUGACAGUUGUUAAAGCGGGGGAUCGCAAGACCUCGCGUCUGAAGAGGAGCCUGCGGCGGAUUAGCUAGUUGGUAAGGUAAUGGCUUACCAAGGCGAUGAUCCGUAGCCGGCCUGAGAGGGCGGUCGGCCACACUGACACUGACAUACGGGUCAGACUCCUACGGGAGGCAGCAGUCGGGAAUUUUGGGCAAUGGGCGAAAGCCUGACCCAGCAACGCCGCGUGAAGGAUGAAAUCCUUCGGGAUGUAAACUUCGCAAGAACGGGAAGAAUAAGUAAGAGCUAACAUCUCUUACGAUGACGGUACUGUUUGUAAGCUCCGGCUAACUCCGUGCCAGCAGCCGCGGUAAUACGGGGGGAGCAAGCGUUGUUCGGAUUUACUGGGCGUAAAGGGCGCGUAGGCGGCCACCGCAAGUCAGUUGUGAAAGCUCUGGGCUUAACCCAGAAAGGUCAACUGAUACUGCGGGGCUAGAGUGCAGAAGGGGCAACUGGAAUUCUCGGUGUAGCGGUGAAAUGCGUAGAUAUCGAGAGGAACACCUGCGGCGAAGGCGGGUUGCUGGGCUGACACUGACGCUGAAGUGCGAAAGCUAGGGGAGCGAACGGGAUUAGAUACCCCGGUAGUCCUAGCCUUAAACGAUGAAUGCUUGGUGUCUGGGGUUUUAUAGUCCCCGGGUGCCGUCGCUAACGCUUUAAGCAUUCCGCCUGGGGAGUACGGUCGCAAGACUGAAACUCAAAGGAAUUGACGGGGACCCGCACAAGCGGUGGAG
rnacentral:rRNA from 1 species